GCACAACAGGAACCUCCAGGAGGUAGCGGAUGGGGGUGGGGGAGCUUGGCAUGGGGGAGGGCGGCCGGGAGAUAGCAAAACGGAUGCGUGACGACAUGGGGAGGCUGUGGCUGCGAGCAAUCGGCCGGUGGCUACCCGACGGCAACGAAUUUCACCGGCAAGGAAAGGGGAAAACUUGGAGCUUCUGUGUACUGCAACGGAGGGAGGAGGUAGUGCGGUUUGAGGAGGCGGGUGCUGCUUAUAUAGCUAGGGUGAGGUGAGGAUAAGAAUGACAUGGCGACAAUGGGUGGCCAUUGGUGGCAAGGGCAAGUGCCGGGCAUGGCGACCCCAUGGCGGCGCUUCUGUCCGUGUGGCGCCCAUGCCGUGUGGGCGGAGCUCUGCCCAACUAGGUGCGAG
rnacentral:lncRNA from 1 species